AUGGUCGACCGAUGGACGGUCACGCGCUACGCGGCCGCCGAGGCGUCCCUGCUCGGCAUCCUGCGCCGCUUCGGCGUGCGCCCCGGCAAGACCGUCCCCCGCGGCGAGCUGCGGCAGGCGGCGCGCAAGCACGUCGGCGACACGGGCCUCCUCGACCACCUCCUCAAGCACACUGCCGACAAGGUGCCGCGCGGCAGCGCCGAGCGCAUCCGUCGCCGCCACAACACCGACGGCGCCAUGGAGUACUGGCUCGAGCCGGCCGAGCUCGCGGCCCUGCGCCGGGAGGUCGGCGUCGACCCGUACUGGGUGCCGCUGCCAGGGUGGAAGCGCGGGGACCCCGUCUCCGCCGACGGCUACGCGCUCAAGGCAAAGAAGCAGAUGGAGGAGCUCACCAAGGAGCUCGCCGGAGUAAAAAGGUCUUUUUCUCCCUUCUCCUGCCAUCUUCCUAUGCAAUUUCUUCUUCAUCUUUGGAUUGGUCUAGUGGAGAAUGCAGUGCAAUGCUGA
rnacentral:rRNA from 1 species